rnacentral:lncRNA from 1 species
GGAGGGUGCGCUUCGCAGGGCGCUCGGUACUCGGUCGGGUGCCGCAGGGGCCGCAGAGGCUGCUGAGGCGGCGCGGAUCCUGCUCUGGGAGCUGCGCUCCGUGGCCUACACCCUGGCGGGCGCGCGCUGACCCGCUUGGUUACUCCACGUUGCUGCCGCCGCCGCUUGCAAACGCUUCCAGCCUCCAGCUCCCUCCUUCUCCUGCUCCUCCUUCUCUUGCUCCAAACGCCAACCCAGCCACAGACGAUCAGCCGUCGCGGUUGCGUUCACCCCCUGCGGAUCACAACGGCAGCCCUUGCGACACCCUGGCUGGGGAGUUUUAUUCCUGAGGGGGUUGCGCAGGGGCUCCCUUGGACUCCCACCCUUUCCCAACCUCUGCUGGCUUCUCCCCAACGUGGAAUUGCUCGCUUAGGGAGCUUCUGGAGCUCCGCUCGGAGCGAACCUUCUGCUGCCAGCAGAUAACAUCACGAUCUUGCCGGGGAGGGGAGAUUUAUAAGUUCUCUCUGAACCACGUGUCUGCCUUCAACAAAGUGACGUGCUAGGAUUACAGUCAGAAGUCCUCUCGUUACUUAGACCACGAGCUCUCCCCGAACCGUUGAGGGAGUGUGGAAAUGAGGACCGCUGUGGUUACUCAAAGUCAACAUUUUCAUUUCGGCAUGACUCUGCAGCCAUACUGACCAGACAGAUGAUUUAAACUGGAAACUCUGUUGAAUGUACUCCCAAACCCAAGAUCUCUAUACUGUUCUCUACUUCAGAUGUUCCUGAGUUCAGAAAAGUCACAAAGAACUUUCUAUCACUUUUGGAAUUUAUACUUCAGUUGUGUAUGGGGCCUAGGUUAUUAGUAGAGCACUGAAUAAAUAAAAUAAUAAUAGCUAACAUAUACUACACUUAGUAAUUUGA